UUACGGUCAAAUCACGCUGAAAACACCGGUUCUCGUUCGAUCACCGAAGUUAAGCAUCGUAGAGCCAGGUCAGAUACUUUGGAUGGGGACCGCUUCCGGGAACACCUGGUACUGUAA
rnacentral:rRNA from 1 species